rnacentral:rRNA from 1 species
AGACGACGACGGGUAGCCGGCCUGAGAGGGCGACCGGCCACACUGGGACUGAGACACGGCCCAGAMACCUACGGGAGGCAGCAGUGGGGAAUAUUGCACAAUGGGGGAAAMCCUGAUGCAGCGACGCAGCGUGCGGGAUGACGGCCUUCGGGUUGUAAACCGCUUUCAGCAGGGAAGAAGCGCAAGUGACGGUACCUGCAGAAGAAGUACCGGCUAACUACGUGCCAGCAGCCGCGGUAAUACGUAGGGUACGAGCGUUGUCCGGAAUUAUUGGGCGUAAAGAGCUCGUAGGUGGUUGGUCACGUCUGCUGUGGAAACGCAACGCUUAACGUUGCGCGUGCAGUGGGUACGGGCUGACUAGAGUGCAGUAGGGGAGUCUGGAAUUCCUGGUGUAGCGGUGAAAUGCGCAGAUWUCAGGAGGAACACCGGUGGCGAAGGCGGGACUCUGGGCUGUAACUGACACUGAGGAGCGAAAGCAUGGGGAGCGAACAGGAUUAGAUACCCUGGUAGUCCAUGCCGUAAACGUUGGGCACUAGGUGUGGGGGGCAUUCCACGUUCUCCGCGCCGUAGCUAACGCAUUAAGUGCCCCGCCUGGGGGAGUACGG